UACGUAGGAGGCGAGCGUUGUCCGGAUUUACUGGGCGUAAAGAGCGCGCAGGCGGCACACCAAGUACGGAGUGAAAUCUCCCUGCUCAACGGGGAGGGUGCUCUGUAAACUGGUGAGCUAGAGGGCGGCAGAGGGGGGUGGAAUACCCGGUGGAGCGGUGAAAUGCGUAGAGAUCGGGUGGAACACCAGUGGCGAAGGCGGCAUGCUGGCGCAUUCCUGACACUGAGGCGCGAGAGCGUGGGGAGCAAACGGG
rnacentral:rRNA from 1 species